UCGAGUUAGGGUCCCCAGGGCCCGACCUCCCACCUUUUGUCUACCUAACCUAUUGUUGCUUCGGCGGGCCCGUCUCCCUGUGAAAGGGUCGACCGCCGGAGGGUUUUCGCCCUCUGGUCCGCGCCCGUCGGUGGCCCCAAUCAAAACUCUUUGUUAAACUGUUGUCUGAGUUUGAUAAACCAAAUCAAUAA
rnacentral:misc_RNA from 1 species